UGUGGAGCUACAAUCUUUAUUUCCCCGCCCCCAUCCUCUGUUUCUCCAUAAAAAGCAUGUCUUUUAAUCUCAAUCGUUGUUUGAUUGCACACUGCACUGCUUCCUCACUUCAAAGAGAGCUGCAUACGGAAAUGAAGAAAGGCUGAAAAAAUGUGAGCGUAGGAACCGAGCCUCUUGUGGUGUACGGCACACUCUGAAAACACUCACACAAGUUGCACAAAGAUGAUUAAUCGUGCUCACAGUAAUCAACUGCGGCAAACGGUGUCGUCGGGGUUGGUUUACCAUAUCGUACAGUUGGAGAGAGAACCGUAAAGACUGGGUUUUGUAUGUGUACAACAAAAUUCCCCCAACACCCUCUUGAAACUCUCAUCUAUGAUUCAAUAUGAACGGAAUUUAAACAGCCUUCAAAAGUGAGUCAAUGAGCUGAACUACCAUUUCUUUUCUUGUAAAUUUGUGAAAACGUGAAAAAAAAAAAAAACUUUAUGUUUGGGGUCAGUAUACGUUUUAUGACAGACGUUUCUUAUGUUC